rnacentral:rRNA from 1 species
UACGGAGGGAGCUAGCGUUGUUCGGAAUUACUGGGCGUAAAGCGCACGUAGGCGGACUCUUAAGUCGGGGGUGAAAUCCUGGAGCUCAACUCCAGAACUGCCUUCGAUACUGGGAGUCUUGAGUUCGGGAGAGGUGAGUGGAACUGCGAGUGUAGAGGUGAAAUUCGUAGAUAUUCGCAAGAACACCAGUGGCGAAGGCGGCUCACUGGCCCGAUACUGACGCUGAG